GCCAGUGGUGAUGGCACGUUGAAUUCACCAGUUCUCGCGGAUCACUGAUGUUAACCAACUUUGCGCUUGGUUAGUAUCCGGAUGGGUGACCAUCUGGGAAUACUCCUUCCUUUACCC
rfam:Asian citrus Psyllid, Diaphorina citri - Florida Strain, whole genome shotgun sequence.